GUUGACCUCGGAGUAGGUAGGAUU
rnacentral:rRNA from 1 species